rnacentral:rRNA from 1 species
GAUGAACGCUGGCGGCGUGCCUAAUACAUGCAAGUCGAGCGAACGGACGAGAAGCUUGCUUCUCUGAUGUUAGCGGCGGACGGGUGAGUAACACGUGGAUAACCUACCUAUAAGACUGGGAUAACUUCGGGAAACCGGAGCUAAUACCGGAUAAUAUUUUGAACCGCAUGGUUCAAAAGUGAAAGACGGUCUUGCUGUCACUUAUAGAUGGAUCCGCGCUGCAUUAGCUAGUUGGUAAGGUAACGGCUUACCAAGGCAACGAUGCAUAGCCGACCUGAGAGGGUGAUCGGCCACACCGGAACUGAGACACGGUCCAGACUCCUACGGGAGGCAGCAGUAGGGAAUCUUCCGCAAUGGGCGAAAGCCUGACGGAGCAACGCCGCGUGAGUGAUGAAGGUCUUCGGAUCGUAAAACUCUGUUAUUAGGGAAGAACAUAUGUGUAAGUAACUGUGCACAUCUUGACGGUACCCAAUCAGAAAGCCACGGCUAACUACGUG